UACGUAGGGUGCAAGCGUUGUCCGGAAUUAUUGGGCGUAAAGAGCUCGUAGGCGGUUUGUCGCGUCUGCUGUGAAAACCCGAGGCUCAACCUCGGGCCUGCAGUGGGUACGGGCAGACUAGAGUGCGGUAGGGGAGAUUGGAAUUCCUGGUGUAGCGGUGGAAUGCGCAGAUAUCAGGAGGAACACCGAUGGCGAAGGCAGAUCUCUGGGCCGUAACUGACGCUGAGGAGCGAAAGCAUGGGUAGCGAACGGG
rnacentral:rRNA from 1 species